GGGGUUGUGGCUCAGUGGUAGAGUGCUUGCCUAGCAUGCAUGAGGCACUGGGUUUUAUAAUCAGCACCA
rnacentral:tRNA from 1 species